rnacentral:rRNA from 1 species
AGCAUGUGGUUAAUCGAUGAUACGCGAGGAACCUUACCUGGGCUCGAACGUAAGAUGACUGUAGGUGAAAGCUUACAUCUCUUCGGAGCAUUUUACGAGGUGCUGCAUGGUUGUCGUCAGCUCGUGCCGUGAGGUGUCGGGUUAAGUCCCAUAACGAGCGCAACCCCUACCUUUAGUUGCCAUCAGGUAAUGCUGGGGACUCUAAAGGAACUGCCUACGCAAGUAGCGAGGAAGGCGGGGAUGACGUCAAAUCAGCACGGCCCUUACGUCCAGGGCUACACACGUGCUACAAUGGCCGAUACAGAGGGCAGCUACCUGGUGACAGGAUGCAAAUCUCCAAAGUCGGUCUCAGUUCGGAUCGGAGUCUGCAACCCGACUCCGUGAAGUUGGAUUCGCUAGUAAUCGCGCAUCAGCCAUGGCGCGGUGAAUACGUUCCCGGGCCUU